rnacentral:sRNA from 1 species
UCCUGUUAGUAUCCACGGGCCAGUGUGCGU